rnacentral:rRNA from 1 species
CCUACGGGAGGCAGCAGUAGGGAAUCUUUCACAAUGGGCGAAAGCCUGAUGGAGCAACGCCGCGUGCAGGAUGAAGGCCUUCGGGUUGUAAACUGCUUUUAUAAGCGAGAAAUAUGAUGGUAACUUAUGAAUAAGGAUCGGCUAACUACGUGCAAGCAGCCGCGGUCAUACGUAGGAUCCGAGCAUUAUCCGGAGUGACUGGGUGUAAAGAGUUGCGUAGGUGGCAUAAUAAGUAGCUAGUGAAAUCUGGUGGCUCAACCAUUCAGACUAUUAGCUAAACUGUUAAUCUCGAGACCGUUAGGGGUAACUGGAAUUUCUAGUGUAGGAGUGAAAUCCGUAGAUAUUAGAAGGAACACCAAUAGCGUAGGCAGGUUGCUGGGACGGUUCUGACACUAAGGCACGAAAGCGUAGGGAGCAAACGGGAUUAGAUACCCGGGUAGUC